rnacentral:lncRNA from 1 species
GAAAAAAUGUUCUGAGCUUAAUCAAAAGCCUAUCUAAUAAUAAUAAGUCCUGCAGCGGGCUUGUAAAGAAUGCAGAUCAGACCCACUUAGCCAUAAUGGUUCUACAAAGUAAUGAAGACUCAAGUGGUCCUUAUUAGGUAUCAAGCUGUGAAUCAGAACUCAUCUAACAUCCUGAUUGCUAAAGGAAAUUGGUAAUUGAUGUGACAGAAUGGCCAUUAUUACUAUUAUUAUUACUUAUUAUUUUUUUUUAAAUCCAGACAUAGCGGCUAGGAGCCUGCCCCCAGCCUCCUUGGGGUAUACCAGGUGUGCAGGACCAGCGUGGCCAGAGCAAUCGUCUUAAUUAAUCAAAGCCCAGGAGCAGAGAUGAAGACAUCUUGCUUGGCAGUAGAGUUUGUGUCUGGGGAGGAAAGUGCAAUGGCCAGAACUCAUUGCAUGGUUCUAUGCAGCAACAAAAGGCCUGAGAAGCAAACCAGAACAGAAGGAGAUUUCCAUAGGCCACCAGCCAGAACAUGACUUGGAGGAUGGAAUGCUCUGUGAGGCUUUUGAUAUGGAUGUGACUACUGGAAACUAUCUAACUGCUAUCUCAGACCACGAGGCAACCUAGAGGAUGGAAACCACGUGCUGAAGGUGAUGGAACAUAAUGUUUGCAGGAGCCUGACACCAUGGCCCUGCCAUGAAAUCCUGGACUGCCUUGCUCCAGACUGCUUUCACUUGUUUGCAGAGGGAAGACAUUUCCCAUAGCAGUUAAUCCUUCAUUGGCAGAAGUGGAAAUCCUAGACUUUUAACAAAGGAAGCAAUUAAUGCAGGGACACACCCCUUGUAAAAAAGGUGCUUAGGAUUGGAAGGUUUUUAUAUAAGUAAAGG